AAGGCUACCCGCUGAACUUAAGCAUAUCAUAAGCCGGAGGAAGAUC
rnacentral:rRNA from 1 species